ensembl:lncRNA
CUUGCCCUUUUUUAGGUUUCUCUCCAUAUAUAAAUAGCGACUGUAAAUGUCAGUUUAAAUCGUCUUACCUGUAAAACUUGCCGUCUUUACCGGAAGUCAAUGUACACACCUUAACGACUGGGCGUGUUUAUUUUUUCCAGUGUAACUGAAAAGUUAAGUUUCAUUUUCCUGUUCUGGAACAUCAUCUGCUAUCUAGUCGGCGACACAGAUUAAAAUUACAAAAUGGAAGAAGGAAGAACUAGCCUGAAGAAAAGAAAGAGAGUCACGGAUGAGAAAGAUGACAAGAACCUCUGGCGUGUAAAAUGUGGAGACAAAAAGGGUUGGAUGGAUGUAGAGAAGUUGGGAAAAGGUAAGGAUUGUAUUGAGUUUGAAGGCUCCUUUUACAGUCCACCUGAGUUUGAGAAGCUUGCAGGAAAAGAUUCAUGUAGAAAAUGGAAGUCAUCUAUUUACCACAAGAAAGCUCCUCUGCACUAUUGGUUCAAGAGAGGUUACCUAACCACUACAGGAUAUAGACAAAAAAAAAGAAAACGACAAUCAUCAGACCUUGAGUCCCAGGACCUCUUAACAGUCCUGUUCAAUAAAUACUCACCUGCAUCAGAGCUGCUGCAUUUUGGGUCCCAUCUUCAACUCCACACGUCCGCCACCCCGGACACGACAGAAAAUGAGGAUGGAGAAGAGGAUGAUGAGGAUAUGGAUGAAGAUGAUGUAUGGGCAGAUAAAUGGGAAGAUAAAGAAGCUACACAGAUUUCUAUCUCUUCUUCUGAAGAAGAGAGUGCGGAAGAUCAUGUUAAAGAUAUAGAUGACGAUGGAGAAGAGGAAGAUGAGGAUAUAGAUGCAGUUGAUGUCAGUAACGAUGAGCCUAGCACUGAGGAAGAUGAGGAUGAAGAAGAUGAUAAUGAUGAGGAUGAGACUGUGCCUGCUGUUGCCUCUAACCAUACUGGCAGCAGUGGUAUCAAAGCAAGUGUAACACCUAUGAUGAAAGAAGUAAAGGGUAUUGUUAACAUCCCUCCUGAGAAGAGUACACAUCAUCCUGACAUGCCAAGAUCUGAAGUCAGUGGAAAUAACAGAGAUGUGGCACAAAACACAGCAAUCAAACAGCUGAAUGUUAAGAAACAACCUGAAGAGAAACUGAAAGACUAGACAUCAUCCUGACACGACAAGAUCUGAAGUCAGUGGAAAUAACAGAGAUGUGGCAACAAACACAGCAAUCAAACAGCUGAAUGUUAAGAAAGAACCCCAAGAGGAACUGAAACACAAGGAAGAUCGUGUUAAAGAUCAAGAUGAAGAACAAGAAGAUGAGCACAUGGAUGAAGAUGUUGUUGGUGAUGAUGAGCCUAGCACUGAGGAAGAUGAGGAUGAAGAAAGUGAUAAUGAUGAGGAAGAGACUGUGCCUGCUGUUGCCUCUAACCAUACUGGCAGCAAUGGUAUCAAAGACAGAGUAACAAGUGCAAUUCCAACACCUGGAAAACAUGCAUUACAGAUGAAAGAAGUAAAGGGUAUGGUUAACAUCCCUCCUGAGAAGAGUACACAUCAUCCUGACAUGCCAAGAUCUGAAGUCAGUGGAAAUAACAGAGAUGUGUCACAAAACACAGCAAUCAAACAGCUGAAUGUUAAGAAAGAACCUGAAGAGAAACUGAAGAAGACAACAACCAGCACAAUUUCAACACCUGGGAAACCUGCAGUGAAUAUCAAAGAAGUAAAGGGUGUCGUUAAUAGCCUUCCUGAGAAAGCUAGAGAUCAUCCUGACACGACAAGAUCUGAAGUCAAUGGAAAUUCCAGAGAUGUUGCAAAAAACACAGCAAUCAAACAGCAAAAUGUUAAGAAAGAACCCAACAAGGAACUCAAUGACCAUCAACAUACAGAGGUGCACUUCUCUGGCCACAGUGUAACUGAAGUACAAUCCAUGAGACCAGAGAUGAGUGCGGACAUGUCAGAGGCCCCAUCACCUGGGCCCUCAGCCAGCUCUGGUUUGGAUCUUGAUCAACUGAAGAGGGAAAAAGUAAAAAUGGAACUAAAGGUUUUAAAAUUAAAAGAAUACUAUUAUGCUUUGAAAAUAAAAGAACUUAAAAAAUGAGGAUUAAUGCUUCUGUAAAGCUGACAUUGCAGAGAAUAAAUUAAAUGAUCGCUGUGUUUACAUCCACAAACUGACACACAUUAUCUGGAGGUUUCUUGGGUGGAAUGUUGCUUUUGAGAAAAGCUGCAAAGUCAAGUGUGCUGCAUUUAAGAUAAGAUAAGAUAGAACUUUAUUAAUCCCUCGGGUGGGUUCCUCUGGGAAAUUCGAUUUCCAAAAAGCACAGCACCGACAGAAGUUACAGUUACAGAAUAUUAUAUAUAUAUAUAUAUAUACACACACACACACACACACACAUACACACACAUAUAUAAAUACAGAGACAAAUAUAAAUAAAAUAUACGAAGGGGAUAAAUAGAAUAAAUAGGAAUAAAAAAUAAAAAUACAAGUGAAUUACACAUUUCACGUAUUAAAAAUACAAGUGAAUUUAUAAUUUAU